UACGUAGGGUGCAAGCGUUGUCCGGAAUUAUUGGGCGUAAAGAGCUCGUAGGCGGUCUGUCGCGUCUGCUGUGAAAACUCAGGGCUUAACCCUGAGCUUGCAGUGGGUACGGGCAGACUAGAGUGCGGUAGGGGAGACUGGAAUUCUUGGUGUAGCAGUGAAAUGCGUAGAUAUCAAGAGGAACACCAGUGGCGAAGGCGAGUCCCUGGACAACACCUGACACUGAGGCACGAAAGCCGGGGGAGCAAACAGG
rnacentral:rRNA from 1 species